AGAGUUUGAUCCUGGCUCAGAUUGAACGCUGGCGGCAUGCUUUACACAUGCAAGUCGAACGGCAGCACGGACUUCGGUCUGGUGGCGAGUGGCGAACGGGUGAGUAAUAUAUCGGAACGUACCCAGGAGUGGGGGAUAACGUAGCGAAAGUUACGCUAAUACCGCAUACGUCCUAAGGGAGAAAGUGGGGGAUCGCAAGACCUCAUGCUCAUGGAGCGGCCGAUAUCUGAUUAGCUAGUUGGUGAGGUAACGGCUCACCAAGGCUAAGACGGGUAGCUGGUCUGAGAGGACGACCAGCCACACUGGAACUGAGACACGGUCCAGACACCUACGGGUGGCAGCAGUCGAGAAUUUUUCACAAUGGGGGAAACCCUGAUGGAGCGACGCCGCGUGGAGGAUGAAGGUCUUCGGAUUGUAAACUCCUGUCAUUAGAGAACAAUGUGCAGACGUUAACUGCGUUUGCAUUGAUAGUAUCUGAAGAGGAAGGGACGGCUAACUCUGUGCCAGCAGCCGCGGUAAUACAGAGGUCCCAAGCGUUGUUCGGAUUCAUUGGGCGUAAAGGGUGCGUAGGUGGCGCUGUAAGUCAGGUGUGAAAUCUCGGGGCUCAACCCCGAAACUGCACUUGAUACUGCGGUGCUCGAGUACUGGAGAGGAGAUUGGAAUUUACGGUGUAGCAGUGAAAUGCGUAGAUAUCGUAAGGAAGACCAGUGGCGAAGGCGAAUCUCUGGACAGUUACUGACACUGAGGCACGAAAGCCAGGGGAGCAAACGGGAUUAGAUACCCCGGUAGUCCUGGCAGUAAACGGUGCGCGUUUGGUGUGGGAGGAUUCGACCCCUUCUGUGCCGGAGCUAACGCGUUAAACGCGCCGCCUGGGGAGUACGGUCGCAAGAUUAAAACUCAAAGAAAUUGACGGGGGCCCGCACAAGCGGUGGAGUAUGUGGCUUAAUUCGAU
rnacentral:rRNA from 1 species